GAUGAACGCUGGCGGCGUGCCUAAUACAUGCAAGUCGAGCGAACGGACGAGAAGCUUGCUCCUCUGAUGUUAGCGGCGGACGGGUGAGUAACACGUGGAUAACCUACCUAUAAGACUGGGAUAACUUCGGGAAACCGGAGCUAAUACCGGAUAAUAUUUUGAACCGCAUGGUUCAAAAGUGAAAGACGGUCUUGCUGUCACUUAUAGAUGGAUCCGCUCUGCAUUAGCUAGUUGGUAAGGUAACGGCUUACCAAGGCAACGAUGCAUAGCCGACCUGAGAGGGUGAUCGGCCACACUGGAACUGAGACACGGUCCAGACUCCUACGGGAGGCAGCAGUAGGGAAUCUUCCGCAAUGGGCGAAAGCCUGACGGAGCAACGCCGCGUGAGUGAUGAAGGUCUUCGGAUCGUAAAACUCUGUUAUUAGGGAAGAACAUAUGUGUAAGUAACUGUGCACAUCUUGACGGUACCUAAUCAGAAAGCCACGGCUAACUACGUG
rnacentral:rRNA from 1 species